CAACCCCUCAAGCUCUGCUUGGUGUUGGGGCCCUGCGCGCCGCGCACGCCCUUAAGCCCAGUGGCGGGCUCUCCUGUGGCACCGAGCGAAGUAAUACUCGCGGCUCUGGUAGAUCAGGGAGUUUCCGGCCGUUAAAAGCCCAAAUUUUCUAA
rnacentral:misc_RNA from 1 species